AUCUGGGCGGCGGAAUUCAGGAUGGCUGGCGCGUCUUCGCGGCGCGUCGGUCGUUUGAUAUUUCCGUCGCCGAUCACCCGCAGACGUCGCGACCUGUUCGCGGUCGGUCCCUGCUCGGAGGAGCCGUGUUCGAGUUCGUUGUGUGCGCGUUUCGGCGUGCCACACGGCGAAGACGCGGAUCUCUGGCUGGCCGUCGGACAGUAUGCUUAACGGUGUCCGGUGUCGCCAUGCGCGCGCACCGGUACCGGUCAGCGACGAAUUCUUCGGGCCUCUUUCCGACCCGUCUUGAAACACGGACCAAGGAGUCUAACAUGCGCGCGAGUCGCGGGGUGUCGAGCGUACCUCGGUGCGUUCGUUACGUUGCGAAACCCGUACAUGUCGAAGGCGUAAUGAAAGUAAAUGGGGAAGAUGGUGUUCCGAGUACACGUUCCGCGAUCGUCGGUAUCGCGGCCGGACACCCGCAUUCCCGGGGCGUCUCAACGGCCCGUCGCUGAUGCGGACAGUCGUCUCUCGGGGCGGCUGUCGGUCGGCGACGAACCGA
rnacentral:rRNA from 1 species